UACGAAGGGUGCAAGCGUUACUCGGAAUUACUGGGCGUAAAGCGUGCGUAGGCGGGUCUUUUAAGUCAGGGGUGAAAUCCUGGAGCUCAACUCCAGAACUGCCUUUGAUACUGAGGAUCUUGAGCUCGGGAGAGGUGAGUGGAACUGCGAGUGUAGAGGUGAAAUUCGUAGAUAUUCGCAAGAACACCAGUGGCGAAGGCGGCUCACUGGCCCGAUACUGACGCUGAGGCACGAAAGCGUGGGGAGCAAACAGG
rnacentral:rRNA from 1 species